GAGAGAGAGAGAGAAAGAGAGAAGGAGAGUGAGAAAAGGUGAAGAAGUAAAUAAGAAGGAAUGGUUUCUGGAGAGGAGUGGCGAACAGUGAUCCACUUAGUAUCUGGUGGUACAGGUGGAACUCUGGGCGCGAUUUUGACUUGCCCUUUUGAGGUAGUGAAGACGCGACUGCAAUCCUCGCAAUCCUCCUGCCCUGGGCCUUACGUGCUCAGCUCGAAUCCUUGGGCCUGUUUGAAAGACAUAGUGAAAUGUGAGGGACUGAGUGGUCUAUUCAAAGGGCUGGGCCCGAAUCUGUUGGGAGUGGCGCCCGCUCGAGCCAUGUACUUUUGUGCCUACUCUUGGACCAAGGAUCGUGUGAACGUGUGUCUUCCUGUGCGUAACCGGGACACUCCGUUCGUGCAUGUACUUUCUGCUGCUUCAGCAGGCUUCACGGCGUCUACUCUAACCAAUCCAAUUUGGCUCAUCAAAACACGUCUUCAGCUUGACCGAAAUGCGGGGAAUUCUUACGGAAGAAUUCGCAAGUGUGUUGCUCAGAUCUACCAUAAACAUGGUCUUGUAGGGUUUUGGAAAGGAGUCACAGCUUCAUAUUGGGGAAUAUCUGAAACUGCUAUACAUUUUGUCAUCUAUGAAUAUCUAAAAACUAAGUGUUUAUCUCGUCAAACCCAUAGUAGGACGGAUAAUAAAAAGUCAUUAGCUGAUUUUGCUGGCUUUAUGGUAUGUGGAGCUUGUUCUAAGACUUUUGCAACUGUGGUGGCCUAUCCUCAUGAUUAUAAUGUUGUCGUUAUUAUUACAUAUUAUACUCGUAACCUCAUCAAAACUGUUGGCACUGAUUUAAUUCCCGAAAUUUGCACAAAUCCACUAACCGUACUAUAAAAGAAUGUUCACUAACGGAGGAUUAAUACAUAUCUUACUUGGCUUAAUAAACCAUCGAUAUUUUUUGGGGAAAUUCCAUGGACCGAUAGUAUUGGUCUUAAGACUGAAGUGGACUGCAUAAAUAAGGACCAACACAACAUUAUAGAUAAUGAAUGCUAAGUUGAUUAUUCUGACAUGAAUACUCCAUCAGUGUUGGGAAAUCAUGCAUCCAUAAAACGCUGGAAUGUUUGUGCAGCGUUAUUGAGCCCAAAUGAAAUCUGCACCUAUUCGAAAAGGCUGACGGGGUGAUGAUGAGCGACUUUAGACUGGGAUCUGGUGAUAGGCUUUACAAAGGUCCAGCCUUGGAAAAGCUGUGGAGCACCCAAGGUUUUGAGAAAAGUUUAUCAUAUUCGGAAGUGUGUACCGAUCGAGUUCUGCCAUACGAAAGUCUCAACGAAAACGAAACCCUCCGUUUGAUUUCUCUACCAUGUGGACUGCAGAAGAAUAGGGGGGAAGAGGAAAGCAGUCGUAGACCGAUAUGAAUUAAUAAUUGGGCUUCAGACUUGAGGAAAGCUAGCUUUGGGCUACUGAGCCUUGCCAAAAGAUGGAGCACCGGUUGUGACGAUGGAGUGUGUCACUGAGUGGUUGAGUGGAACGUGAUAGUCAAACUUUGAGAAGAGGAUAUUCGUGUGCAUACUCAGCUUACUCAACAGCUGAUGAGUUGGGAGACUCAAAUUACAAUUCACUCAGGGUUGUGAUCAUUUGAAAAGUGAUUUAUUUUCAAGAUCAAUACUAAAAUUAUGUUUUAUUUAAAA
rnacentral:misc_RNA from 1 species